rnacentral:rRNA from 1 species
UACAGAGGAGGCAAGCGUUGUUCGGAAUCACUGGGCUUAAAGCGCGUGUAGGCGGUCGAGAAAGUAUCCUGUGAAAUCCUGCGGCUCAACCGUAGAACUGCAGGGUAAACUACUCGACUUGAGGCCGGUAGAGGUGCCUGGAACUCUUGGUGGAGCGGUGAAAUGCGUAGAUAUCAAGAGGAACGCCAGAGGCGAAAGCGGGGCACUGGGCCGGAACUGACGCUGAGACGCGAAAGCGUGGGGAGCAAACAGG